AUGCUGGGAAGGUGGGGUCGCUUUGGGGUUCUGUGUGCAGCGAGCAUGGUGUCCUUGGCACCAGGGUUUCGGCAGAGGAGCCUAGCGUGGGCCUACUUGGACUCCUCCGCGUGGGGCAGCUCGGGACACCCGGGCCUGCAGGAGAGCGGGGUUCUAGGCUGGCCCCGGCUCUGCAGUGCAGCCGGGUGCCUGCCACUCGCGGGGCUCUGUCGCAGUACUCGUGCCUGGCGCCUCCCCUCAGCCACAGAGACCGCAGUAGCUCCAACCAUCGCACCCCUAACUGGGCCACGAGUUCUCUGAUUGCCAGACCUGUUGUCUUUGCCACUCACUGUUCUGAGUAAUUGGAGAGUCGUGUAUUCACUACACGCCAACCAGAGUGGUCCUGUAAAAGCAGUCUCACUCUGCUGCCUAGGCUGAGUGCAGUGGUGUGAUCGAGGCGCACUGCAGCCUUGACCUCCUGGGCUCAAGCGAUCCUCACCUCGGCCUACCGAGUAGCUGGGACUACAGGCACGCGCCACUACACUCGGAUUUCUGACAGUCAGACUUGUCCACAAGAACUCAACUGGCAAGGCUGCUUUUCUGUGCUAA
rnacentral:lncRNA from 1 species